ACCCUCUGGAUGCCUUACCCCUGGGACCUAAAUAUUGAUCUGAGAGGCUAAAAAAUAGGAGGGAAAGUAAAACUGGAGUGGACUUUGUGAGUAUUUAGUGACAUACAAGUUCAUUUCAAACAUUA
rnacentral:snoRNA from 1 species